UACGAAGGGGGCGAGCGUUGUUCGGAUUUACUGGGCGUAAAGGGCGCGCAGGCGGCGGACCAAGUCAGGCGUGAAAGCCCCGGGCUUAACCUGGGAGGUGCGUCUGGGACUGGUACGCUAGAGUUCGGGAGAGGAGAGUGGAAUUCCCAGUGUAGAGGUGAAAUUCGUAGAUAUUGGGAAGAACACCGGUGGCGAAGGCGGCUCUCUGGACCGAGACUGACGCUGAGGCGCGAAAGCGUGGGGAGCAAACAGG
rnacentral:rRNA from 1 species